rnacentral:rRNA from 1 species
UCGAGUGCAUGAAGCUGGAAUCGCUAGUAAUCGCGAAUCAGAAUGUCGCGGUGAAUACGUUCCCGGGUCUUGUACACACCGCCGUCACACCAUGGGAGUCGGGAAUGCCCGAAGCCGGUGACCCAACCUUAAGGAGGGAGCCGUCGAAGGCAGGCCUGGUAACUGGGGUGAAGUCGUAACAAGGUAAC